rnacentral:rRNA from 2 species
GCGGUGAAAUGCGCAGAUAUCAGGAGGAACACCGAUGGCGAAGGCAGGUCUCUGGGCAUUAACUGACGCUGAGGAGCGAAAGCAUGGGGAGCGAACAGGAUUAGAUACCCUGGUAGUCCAUGCCGUAAACGUUGGGCACUAGGUGUGGGGGACAUUCCACGUUUUCCGCGCCGUAGCUAACGCAUUAAGUGCCCCGCCUGGGGAGUACGGCCGCAAGGCUAAAACUCAAAGGAAUUGACGGGGGCCCGCACAAGCGGCGGAGCAUGCGGAUUAAUUCGAUGCAACGCGAAGAACCUUACCAAGGCUUGACAUGAACCGGUAACGCCUGGAAACAGGUGCCCCGCUUGCGGUCGGUUUACAGGUGGUGCAUGGUUGUCGUCAGCUCGUGUCGUGAGAUGUUGGGUUAAGUCCCGCAACGAGCGCAACCCUCGUUCCAUGUUGCCAGCACGUAGUGGUGGGGACUCAUGGGAGACUGCCGGGGUCAACUCGGAGGAAGGUGGGGACGACGUCAAAUCAUCAUGCCCCUUAUGUCUUGGGCUUCACGCAUGCUACAAUGGCCGGUACAAAGGGUUGCGAUACUGUGAGGUGGAGCUAAUCCCAAAAAGCCGGUCUCAGUUCGGAUUGGGGUCUGCAACUCGACCCCAUGAAGUCGGAGUCGCUAGUAAUCGCAGAUCAGCAACGCUGCGGUGAAUACGUUCCCGGGCCUUGUACACACCGCCCGUCAAGUCACGAAAGUUGGUAACACC